rnacentral:rRNA from 1 species
UACGGAGGGUGCAAGCGUUAUCCGGAUUUACUGGGUUUAAAGGGUGCGUAGGUGGACAGGAAAGUCAGUGGUGAAAUCUUCGAGCUUAACUCGGAAACUGCCAUUGAUACUAUUUGUCUUGAAUACUUUGGAGGUAAGCGGAAUAUGUCAUGUAGCGGUGAAAUGCUUAGAUAUGACACAGAACACCGAUUGCGAAGGCAGCUCACAAAACUGUAACUGACGCUGAGGCACGAAAGCGUGGGGAUCAAACAGG